UGGCUCAAAUGGUAGAGCGUUCGACUCAAAUACCAAAGGUCGUGGGUUCGAAUCCCAG
rnacentral:tRNA from 1 species